UUUGAUUGCCAAAAGUGGGGGAAAAUGACCAACCUUCAACAUUAAUGUAAAAGUAUUAUCUCCUCUUUACACAAAAACAUGUAAAGUAUCAUCUCUUUCACAUUCUAUACUAAGAUACCAUACAUUGUAAUGCAUGCAAAAAAGAACAAUGGAUAAAAUAAUGAAAUACAACAACAAAAUGGACAGAAAAACAUAAAGAUAUAAGGCAAAGUGAACAGAAUAAUUGAAUUCAAUAAACAUUAAUAGAGAAUGUGGUUAUAGUAAAAGACAAAUCACUAACAAAAACACCUCAGACUUGACACAUACUCAACCAAAUGGUACAUGUUUGAUUCCCCUUAAGUAAGAACCCGGAUUCGAGUCUUGUGGAUGGAAAAAAUGUCCAUUGGUAGAGUUAGCCCCACUUAACUGUGGAUGUUCCCGCCUCGUACAGGAUUGCCUCCAGUGUAAGGAUACAUGUGGGAAACCAAAAAAAAUACUCCAACCAAAGGCAUAGACUUCUCAUUGCUUGCCUAUUUCCUUGAGGCAUUGCCGAGACACGAAGGCUAUCAUAUAGAGGCCGGUGCAACGUCGCACAAUAACGAUUGUGAGCACCUGAGCAGUGAGACAAGGUGGCUGAGACGCUAAGUGGUGACUUGUGUGGUGUAUGUUGUGCUUGUCUUUCUCUCUUUACUGUGUAGAAGGGGUGGAGAAAUUGAAAGCAAAAUGGGAUGGGAAAAAUAUGACUCGCCAAUGAGAACAACCUAACAUGAUAUCCUCUUAUCCAUAAAAGCGAUAAGACCAAAAGUUGUAUGUUGACUUGAACGGGUAAGCCCAACCUGAAUUUUUGUGUGGCUUAAUUAGAC
rnacentral:lncRNA from 1 species